rnacentral:sRNA from 1 species
UAUUCUGCCCCAGCGGGAAGGAUGAGAAGCUUCGACUAAGGUUCGAUUCGAGCGUUAGCGAGAAAGCGUUGCCGCAGGCAACGACCCGAAG